CAGUUUGACUCUGGAGUCAGCGGUGGUAGUGACAGAUUCCAAGUCUCUUCGUUCCCCGUGUUCUUGGAUUAUUCCCGUGGUGAUGUGAUCCUGCGCUCACAAGUUUGGACAGUGGCCUCCCGUUUCCCCAGCUUUCUGACUGGCAGAUACCAUUCGGUUGGCUUGGACCGCUCUGCAUCUUUCACCACCUCUUACCUGGCUGAUGCAUAAGAGAUCCUUCCCCUGGUCUCUGGAUUGGCUAGAACACCUGCAGGUGUCUCCUAUGGCUGGCGGCUGGAAUCUGGCUUUCAUCAGUGCUAAAGACCCAACCUCAGAAAGCCCUGCAAAAAGAAUCAGGUGUUGGAGCCUAGCAGUCACGAACCCUAUUUUGUUCAGAUGGUGAGGAACGGGCAUUACCGAGGACUGCAUCUGUGGCAGCUGAUGUGUCCACUUUAGUCCCAGAAGGAAAAGGACUGUCUUUCCUCUACAAUUUGGAGGUGCCGGGGUUUGGGAAACAUGAGCCACCUCUUUGAGUUUUUACCAUCUGUAAAAUGAGGGUGAAAGUAUCUACCUUGGGCCAGUGAGAUGGCUCAGUGAGUAAAAGGCACUUGCCGCUAAGCCUGAAGACCUGAGUUGCAUCCCUAGGAACUGAUUCAUUGCAAAUUGUCCUGUGCCCUGCAGCCAUGCACCGUGGUGCUGAUGUG